rnacentral:rRNA from 1 species
GAUGAACGCUGGCGGCGUGCCUAAUACAUGCAAGUCGAGCGAACGGACGAGAAGCUUGCUUCUCUGAUGUUAGCGGCGGACGGGUGAGUAAAACGUGGAUAACCUACCUAUAAGACUGGGAUAACUUCGGGAAACCGUAGCUAAUACCGGAUAAUAUUUUGAACCGCAUGGUUCAAAAGUGAAAGACGGUCUUGCUGUCACUUAUAGAUGGAUCCGCGCUGCAUUAGCUAGUUGGUAAGGUAACGGCUUACCAAGGCAACGAUGCAUAGCCGACCUGAGAGGGUGAUCGGCCACACUGGAACUGAGACACGGUCCAGACUCCGACGGGAGGCAGCAGUAGGGAAUCUUCCGCAAUGGGCGAAAGCCUGACGGAGCAACGCCGCGUGAGUGAUGAAGGUCUUCGGAUCGUAAAACUCUGUUAUUAGGGAAGAACAUAUGUGUAAGUAACUGUGCACAUCUUGACGGUACCUAAUCAGAAAGCCACGGCUAACUACGUG